CUCAGACCCUGUUUGACUGUCCCGCAUGUCGGGACACCUGGCAUUGAGGUCAGCUCUGCAAUACUGAGCAGGGUGGAAAGCACCAGGAAGGGCAAAUGGUGCAACAACCUGAGCACCUACUAUGUUCCCUGACACACCAACCCAUAAGUGUCUAACAGGAUUUCUGUGCAAGGCCAUGGUUCCUGCCAUAGCAAGAACUGGCUCUAAGCAUCCUGGUUCUAAGGAUGCUGGUUUCCAACUGACUGCCGAGAAGCCAGUCCAGCUGGGUGAUCCACUCCACACAGGGUUCUUGGAAGAUGAGGAGAAGGUGAAAGGCAGAGAACAGAAGCUGUAAGUUCCACACUGAGAUGGGUUAAAGGUGUCUUGCUAAAUGGCAAUCAGCAUUUGCUUCAGCAUCCUGGAAGCAGGAUUUGGGGCCUGUACCACCACACCAUGAUCACUGAAAAUAACUUGGAUGAAGGCAAGUAAAACUCAAAGGAAAAUUAGCCAAAUGGAAAUGAUGACAGCUUACUGAUGAAGGAACCCAAGAGAGGGCCACACUCAGGAGAACCCAUCCUGCCACUAAAGACUAGAUAUGAAGAAACAGUCCCCCCACUUCGGCUGCGAGCCUGAGACUGUUGACAUAACUGUUUGUACCAAGAUCCCAAGAACUAGCAAUUCUUUCUUUCCCUCCCUUCCUUCUUUCCUAAUACAUAAUCUCUCUCUAUAGCCCUGGUUGUUCUGGGACUCACUAUGUAGACCAGGCUGGCCUCCAACUGACAAGAUAGCCACAUGACUCUGCUUCCUGGGUGCUGGGAUUAAAGGCUCGUGUUAUACUUAGCCAUUUAUUAUUUUUCUCUGUUUGUGAUGGUUUUGCAAUGAACUCAAUCUGGCCACCAAACUUCCUAAAUAGCAGGUGACCUUGAACUUCUGGAUCCUCCUGACUCUACUUCUUAAAUAUUACACAUGCACAGCCAAUAUCUGUUCUGGGUGAUGC
rnacentral:lncRNA from 1 species